rnacentral:rRNA from 1 species
UAGCCUUGACAUUGAUUGAACACACUAGAGAUAGAGUGGUGCCCUUCGGGGAACAUGAAAACAGGUGCUGCACGGCUGUCGUCAGCUCGUGUCGUGAGAUGUUGGGUUAAGUCCCGCAACGAGCGCAACCCUCGUCCUUAGUUGCUAGCAGUUCGGCUGAGCACUCUAAGGAGACUGCCUUCGUAAGGAGGAGGAAGGUGAGGACGACGUCAAGUCAUCAUGGCCCUUAUGGCUAGGGCUACACACGUGCUACAAUGGUUAGGACAAUGAGAAGCGAUACCGCGAGGUGGAGCAAAUCUAUAAACCUAAUCUCAGUUCGGAUAGCAGUCUGCAACUCGACUGCUUGAAGCUGGAAUCACUAGUAAUCGUAAAUCAGCUAUGUUACGGUGAAUACGUUCCAGGGUCU